rnacentral:rRNA from 1 species
GGAGGUUGGCUUAGAAGCAGCCAUCCUUGAAAGAGUGCGUAAUAGCUCACUGGUCGAGUGGUUCUGCGCCGAUAAUGUAGCGGGGCUUAAGUACACCGCCGAAACCGCGGCAACACGAAAGUGUGUUGGGUAGGGGAGCGUCGUGCAUGUGUUGAAGCCAUCUGGUGACAGGUGGUGGAGUGUGUGCGAGUGAGAAUGCAGGCAUGAGUAACGAUUGAUGUGUGAGAAACAUAUCCGCCGGAUGACUAAGGGUUCCUGGGUGAAGUUUGUCUUCCCAGGGUGAGUCGGGGCCUAAGGCGAGGCCGACAGGCGUAGUCGAUGGAUGACGGGUUGAUAUUCCCGUACCCGUGUGCGUGCGACAAGUGAUGAAUCUUAUGGUACUAACCGCCCGCUUGUUUCUGCUGAUCUUUUUGGUUGGUGGUUUCAGGUGCGUGGGAUCUUCGUGGGUAGUAGUCAAGUGAUGGGGUGACGCAGAGUGGUAGCUAGGCUUCCUUAUUGGAUUGGAGUGCAAGCGUGUGGCCUGUGGGGUUGGGAAAUCCGCCCCACAUGUAAGGUGAGGCGUGAUGCGGACACCAUAUUGUGGUGGUAGUUAGUGUGCCUGUGCUGUCUAGAAAAGCCUCUAGCGAGUGCGUGCAUGGCCCGUACCGGAAACCGACACAGGUGGUCAGGUAGAGAAUACUAAGGCGUUCGGGUGAACUGUGGUUAAGGAACUCGGCAAAAUGCCCCCGUAACUUCGGGAGAAGGGGGACCAUUACUGGUUGCUGACAGCGUGAUGGCUGGUGGUGGUCGCAGAGGAGAGAGGGAAGCGACUGUUUAUUAAAAACACAGGUCCGUGCGAAAACGUGGAAGUUGAGGUAUACGGACUGACGCCUGCCCGGUGCUGGAAGGUUAAGAGGACCCGUGAGCACGCCUUAUGUGUGUGCGAGGCGGAGAAUUGAAGCCCCAGUAAACGGCGGUGGUAACUAUAACCAUCCUAAGGUAGCGAAAUUCCUUGUCGGGUAAGUUCCGACCUGCACGAAUGGCGUAACGACUUCCCUGCUGUCUCAACCACAGGCCCGGUGAAAUUGCAGUACGAGUAAAGAUGCUCGUUUCGCGCGGCAGGACGAAAAGACCCCGGGACCUUUACUAUAGCUUGGUAUUGGUGUUUGGUCAUGCUUGUGUAGGAUAGGUGGGAGACUGUGAAACCGCAACGCUAGUUGUGGUGGAGUCGCAGGUGAAAUACCACUCUGGUGUGAUUGGGUACCUGAACCUUGGCCCGUGAUCCGGGUUGGGGACAGUGCCUGGUGGGUAGUUUAACUGGGGCGGUUGCCUCCUAAAUGGUAACGGAGGCGCCCAAAGGUUUCCUCAGUCUGGUUGGCAAUCAGAUGGUGAGUGUAAGUGUAUAAGGGAGCUUGACUGUGACACUGACGGGUGGAGCAGGUGCGAAAGCAGGGACUAGUGAUCCGGCAUCGACGUGUGGUUGUGGUGUCGCUCAACGGAUAAAAGGUACCCCGGGGAUAACAGGCUGAUCUUCCCCAAGAGUUCAUAUCGACGGGAUGGUUUGGCACCUCGAUGUCGGCUCGUCGCAUCCUGGGGCUGGAGUAGGUCCCAAGGGUUGGGCUGUUCGCCCAUUAAAGCGGCACGCGAGCUGGGUUUAGAACGUCGUGAGACAGUUCGGUCUCUAUCCGCCGCGCGCGU